AUUGAACGCUGGCGGCAGGCCUAACACAUGCAAGUCGAGCGAGCGGCGGACGGGUGAGUACUGUAUGGGGAUCUGCCCGAUAGAGGGGUAUAACUACUGGAAACGGUGGCUAAUACCGCAUACUAUCGGAUGAACCCCUAUGGGAUUAGCUAGUCGGUGGGGUAAAGGCUCACCUAGGCGACGAUCUCUAGCUGGUCUGAGAGGAUGAUCAGCCACACGGGGACUGAGACACGGCCCAGAGUCCUACGGGAGGCAGCAGUGGGGAAUAUUGCACAAUGGGCGCAAGCCUGAUACAGCCAUGCCGCGUGUGUGAAGAAGGCCUUCGGGUUGUAAAGCACUUUCAGCGAGGAGGCGUUAACUACAGAAGAAGCACCGGCUAACUCCGUGCCAGCAGCCGCGGUAAUAC
rnacentral:rRNA from 1 species